rnacentral:rRNA from 1 species
ACAUGCAAGUCGAACGAGAACGGGUUAAAGUUUACUUUAACUGUCAGCUAAGUGGCGCACGGGUGAGUAAUAUAUAGUUAAUCUGCCCCAAAGAAGAGAAUAAUUGUUGGAAACGACUUGUAACUCUCUAUAUGCCUUUAUCACAUAAGUGAGCAAGGGAAACAUUUAUGGCUUUGGGAUGAGACUGUACGGUAUCAGUUAGUUGGUAAGGUAAUGGCUUACCAAGACUAUGACGCCUAACUGGUUUGAGAGGAUGAUCAGUCACACUGGAACUGAGACACGGUCCAGACUCCUACGGGAGGCAGCAGUGGGGAAUAUUGCACAAUGGAGGAAACUCUGAUGCAGCAACGCCGCGUGGAGGAUGACACAUUUCGGUGCGUAAACUCCUUUUAUAUGAGAAGAUAAUGACGGUAUCAUAUGAAUAAGCACCGGCUAACUCCGUGCCAGCAGCCGCGGUAAUACGGGGGGUGCAAGCGUUACUCGGAAUCACUGGGCGUAAAGAGCAUGUAGGCGGAUAGAUAAGUUGGAAGUGAAAUCCUAUGGCUUAACCAUAGAACUGCUUCCAAAACUGUCUAUCUAGAAUAUGGGAGAGGUAGAUGGAAUUUCUGGUGUAGGGGUAAAAUCCGUAGAGAUCAGAAGGAAUACCGAUUGCGAAGGCGAUCUACUGGAACAUUAUUGACGCUCAGAUGCGAAAGCGUGGGGAGCAAACAGGAUUAGAUACCCUGGUAGUCCACGCCCUAAACGAUGCACACUAGUUGUUGCCUUGCUAGACAAGGCAGUAAUGCAGUUAACACAGUAAGUGUGCCGCCUGGGGAGUACGGU